rnacentral:rRNA from 1 species
GACGAACGCUGGCGGCGUGCCUAAUACAUGCAAGUAGAACGCUGAAGGAGGAGCUUGCUUCUCUGGAUGAGUUGCGAACGGGUGAGUAACGCGUAGGUAACCUGCCUGGUAGCGGGGGAUAACUAUUGGAAACGAUAGCUAAUACCGCAUAAGAGUAGAUGUUGCAUGACAUUUGCUUAAAAGGUGCAAUUGCAUCACUACCAGAUGGACCUGCGUUGUAUUAGCUAGUUGGUGAGGUAACGGCCCACCAAGGCGACGAUACAUAGCCGACCUGAGAGGGUGAUCGGCCAAACUGGGACUUAGACACAGCCCAGACUCCUACAGGAGACAGCAGUAGGGAGUCUUCGGCGAUGGACGGAAGUCUGACCGAGCAACGCCGCGUAAGUGGAGAAGGUUUUCGGAUCGUGAAGAUCUGUUGUAAAAGAAGAACGGGUGUGAGAGUGGAAAGUUCACACUGUGACGGUAUCUUACCAGAAAGGGACGGCUAACUACGUG